UGCGUAGGCGGGUAGGUAAGUCAGUGGUGAAAUCCUAGAGCUUAACUCUAGAACUGCCAUUGAUACUAUUUAUCUUGAAUAUUGUGGAGGUAAGCGGAAUAUGUCAUGUAGCGGUGAAAUGCUUAGAUAUGACAUAGAACACCCAUUGCGAAGGCAGCUUACUACGCAUAUAUUGACGCUGAGGCACGAAAGCGUGGGGAUCAAACGGGAUUAGAUACCCUGGUAGUCCACGCCCUAAACGAUGAUUACUCGACAUUUGUGAUACACUAUAAGUGUCUGAGCGAAAGCAUUAAGUAAUCCACCUGGGAAGUACGAUCGCAAGAUUGAA
rnacentral:rRNA from 1 species